ensembl:snRNA U6 U6 spliceosomal RNA
GUACUCGCUUUGGCAGCACAUAUAUUAACAUUGGAAAGAUACAGAGCAGAUCAGCAUGGCCCCUGCACAAGGGUGACAUACAAAUUCAUGAAGCAUUCCAUAUUUUU